rnacentral:tRNA from 1 species
GGGCCCGUAGCUCAGUAAGGUAGAGCGGCGGACUCUUAAUCCGUUGGCCACGGGUUCAAAUCCCGCCGGGCCCGCCA